rnacentral:lncRNA from 1 species
CGUGCCAAUGAUGAGAAACCCUUGCAUAGAAAAGUAGGAGAUGGCCGAGCGCGGUGGCUCACGCCUGUAAUCCCAGCACUUUGGCCGGGGCGGGUGGACCAUGAGGUCAGGAGUUCGAGAUCAGCCUGGCCAACAUGGUGAAACCCCGUCUCUACUAAAAAUACAAAAAUUAGCCGGGCGUGGUGGUGCGUGCCUGUAGUCCCAGCUACUCAGGAGGCUGAGGCCGGAGAAUCUCUUGGACCCAAGAGGUAGAGGUUGCAGUGAGCGGAGAUCGUGCCACUGCACUCCAGCCUGGGUGACAGAGACUCUGUAUCAAAGAAAAAAAAAAAAAAAAGCAGGAGAUACUGGCUGUAGAUAAGAAGGCAGACAUCUCAUUGCUUGCAGAGUGAAAGAAGAAAGAACUGGUGAUGUUGUUACUGGACUACUUUCGCACUAGUGUCAAGAAGGUGAGAAAUCUCUCGAAUCUAGGAUAAGAGAAAAAAUAAAGAAGGUGAGAAAUCUUUCUCAUGGUCGUUACUAUUUCUCUCUGCAGUAAGUUGUAAAAUCAUUUGUUAUUAAACAGGGAAGUUGUGGCCGGGCGCAGUGGCUCAUGCCUGUAAUCCCAGCACUUUGGGAGGCCAAGGCGGGCGGAUCACGAGAUCAGGAAAUCAAGACCAUCCUGGCCAACAUGGUGAAACCUCGUCUGUACUAAAAAAAUACAAAAAUUAGCUGAGCGUGGUGGCGCGUGCCUGUAAUCCCAGCUACUCGGGAGGCUGAGGCAGGAGAAUAGCUUGAACCAGGGAGUUGGAGGUUGCAGUGAGCCGAGAUGGUGCCACUGAACGCUAGCCUGGGAACAGAGCAAGACUCUGUCUCAAAAAAAAAAAAAAAAAAAAAAAAAAAAGAGGGAAGUUGAGAUGGUGUGAAUUCAAAAUCCUGCAGAAAUCAUGAAAAGAUCUUUGCCCACUGGAAAUUUCCUGAAGUGUCGAAGGCCCCUUUAGAGUAGGUGAUCUCAAAUUUUUUAGCGCUUCCCAUAUCACCGCGUGGCGGCAGAAUUAUGUAGGCAGGAGAGACAGAUGGUUAGCGUUUUCCAGGGCAGGUAUUAUGAUAGGACAGAGAGUAGGG